UACGUAGGGUGCGAGCGUUAAUCGGAAUUACUGGGCGUAAAGAGCGCGCAGGCGGUCGUUCAAGUCGCGUGUGAAAGCCCCCGGCUCAACUGGGGAGGGUCACGCGAUACUGAUUGACUCGAAGGCAGGAGAGGGAAGUGGAAUUCCCGGUGUAGUGGUGAAAUGCGUAGAUAUCGGGAGGAACACCAGUGGCGAAGGCGGUUGCCUGGAGCUUUGCUGACGCUGAUGCGCGAAAGCGUGGGGAGCGAUCCGG
rnacentral:rRNA from 1 species